rnacentral:sRNA from 1 species
AAAAAAACAGAGACCUAUAGAUAAUCUCAUAAAAACAGCUCACGUGGAUCAGUCAAAGGGUCUUUGAUCAGUGCAGAAUCACGAGGGUAGCUAAUUGGUGAUAAGGAAGCACAAGGAGACAAAUGUAUAUAGGGAGAAUUCUAGAUUGACAAUCAAUGAUAGAAAGCAACCCCAAGCCUUUAAAAAUCGACCCAUCAGAUUGCACACACAAAUCAGGUUCAUUGUUGGAGAGGUUGCGGAGCCACAGAUGCCAUGGCUCAAGACAUGGACAAGGGCCCUCUCCUAUAAAGUUCAAAGAUUGACUCCUCGUAACUAAAUUAAACAUCAAAAGCCACACACUUUACUCAUAACCUGCUCAGACCUUUUACUUUAACAUUCAUCAUCUCCACCACAAUGUCACAAACAGAUUACAAAGAACAACAUUCUAGAGCUAACACAAGUUUAAAGCAAGAAAACUUUUGAAUCAAACUAGUUUAUGAGUUCGAAUGUUUCAGGAAGAGAAACGAUUAAAUGAAAAAGGGAGAGACUUUGAGCAGAUACGCAAGAGAAAGCAGUGAAUUUUGAAAAUUAAAAGGAAUCAUACAAGCAGAGGAGCUUACCUAAAAGCUCUGUAGAAGCUGAGACGCAAAUAGGAGAGGUUAUAUCUUCGACUUGGAAUCGCAGAAACUGGGAAUCGUCUCAA